rnacentral:rRNA from 1 species
GAUGAACGCUGGCGGUAUGCUUAACACAUGCAAGUCGAACGAAGAUUUUUAAUCUUAGUGGCGGACGGGUGAGUAACACGUGAGAAUCUGCCCUUAGGAAGAGGAUAACAGCUGGAAACGGUUGCUAACACUCUAUACGCCGAAAGGUAAAAGGAAAUAUCCACCUUAGGAAGAGCUCGCGUCUGAGUAGCUUGUUGGUGAGGUAAUGGCUCACCAAGGCGACGAUCAGUAGCUGGUUUGAGAGGACGACCAGCCACACUGGGACUGAGACACGGCCCAGACUCCUACGGGAGGCAGCAGUGGGGAAUUUUCCGCAAUGGGCGAAAGCCUGACGGAGCAAUACCGCGUGAGGGAUGAAAGCCUGUGGGUUGUAAACUCCUUUUAAAUAGGAAGAUUAUGACGGUACUAUUUGAAUAAGCAUCGGCUAACUACGUGCCAGCCGCCGCCGUAA